GAAACUGUGAAUGGAUCAUUAAAUCAUAUAUAAUAUACUGGAAUGUUAGCAGUUACUUGGAUAACUGAGGUAAUUCUUGAGCUAAUACAUGCGAAAAAUCUCGACUCACGGAGGAGAUGCUUUUAUUAUAUCAAAACCAAACGGCUUCGGCUGUUUAAUCUUGAUGACUCUGAAUAACUUUGGGCUGAUUGUAUUGCCUUGUGCAAACAACGUUUCCUUCGAAGGUGUGCCCUAUCAACUGUCGACUGUGAGAGAGACGCUCACAGUGGUUUUGACGGGUAACGGGGAAUCAGGGUUCGAUUCCGGAUAGGGAGCCUUUAAAAAACGGCUACCCACAUUCCUAAUGAAGGGCAUCCAGGCACCCAAAUUACCCAAUGGUCUAAGACCGAGGUAGUGACGAAAAAAAUAACAAUAACAAGACUCUUCCGAGGCCUCUGUAAUUGGAAUGAGUACACUUUAAAACCGCUUCCCGAGGAUCUAUUUGGAGGGCAAGUCUGGUGCCAGCAGCCGCGGUAAUUCCAGCUCCAAUAGCGUAUAUUAAAGUUGUUGUGGUUAAAAAGCUCGUAGUUGGAUUUCGGCGGGUAUUGGUCUGUUUGAAUUUGCUUCAACACUGACUUUUUUACCCGUUGUGUUUUGUCAGAAUUUAACGGGUGAUCUUCGCCGAUUGUCCGUUAGAACUUGACAGGUUUACUUUGAAAAAAUUAGAGUGCUCAAAGCAAGCUUGAUUGCUUGAAUAUUCGUGCAUGGAAUAAUAGAAUAGGAAGUCGUUUCUAUUUUGUUGGUUUUCGGAAAUCGACUUAAUGAUUAAUAGGGAUAGUCGGGGGCAUUUGUAUUCAAACGACAGAGGUGAAAUUCUUGGACCGUUUGAAGACAAACUACUGCGAAAGCAUUUGCCAAGAAUGUUUUCAUUAAUCAAGAACGAAAGUUAGAGGUUCGAAGGCGAUUAGAAUACCGCCUUAGUUCUAAACCAUAAACGAUGCCAGCUAGCGAUCUGCCGGUGUUUGAUUUUCUGACUCGGCAGGCAGCUUCCGGGAAACCAAAGCUUGUGGGUUCCAGGGGAAGUAUGGUUGCAAAGCUGAAACUUAAAGGAAUUGACGGAAGGGCACCACCAGGAGUGGAGCCUGUGGCUUAAUUUGACUCAACACGGGAAAUCUCACCAGGCCCGGACACCAGAAGGAUUGACAGAUUGAUAGCUCUUUCUUGAUUUGGUGGGUGGUGGUGCAUGCCCGUUCUUAGUUGGUGGAGUGAUUUGUCUGGUUAAUUCCGAUAACGAACGAGACUCUGUCCUGUUAAAUAGAUCCAACCUAGUCGUAGGGUUGGAAUUUCUUCUUAGAGGGACUGGUGAUUAUUAGUCACACGAGAUUGAGCAAUAACAGGUCUGUGAUGCCCUUAGAUGUUUUGGGCCGCAACACGCGCUACACUGAAGUGAUCAGCUAGUUUUUCCCUCUCCGAGAGGAGCGGGUAAACUGUUGAACCCACCUCGUGGUAGGGAUCGGAGCUUGCAAUUAUUCUCCGUGAACCAGGAAUUCCCAGUAGGUGCAAGUCAUAAGCUUGCAUCGGUUACGUCCCUGCCCUUUGUACACACCGCCCGUCGCUACUACCGAUUGAGUGUUUUAGUGAGGACCUCGGAUUGCUUGCUGGGCGGUUCGCGCUGCCUAGCUGGCGAAAAGACGUCCAAACUGUAGCACUUAGAGGAAGUAAAAGUCGUAACCCGUUAACC
rnacentral:rRNA from 1 species